CUAUUUACAAUUCUGCAAUUACAUUACAUUACAUAAAAAUUAAUUUCGCAAUUCAUCAGAUUUUGGAGUAGUUUACAUUCGGUAUAAGCAAGUGGAACUGUACUACAAGUUAAAGUAUAAUCAACCCGGUUCAAAAAUUAAUUUUGUCGCAUACAUCGCUGGAUUGCUGUCUAUUCUUGGUGUGAGCGUGGUGGCGAAUUUCCAAGAAACGAACCUGCUAGUCGUGCAUGUCAUUGGAGCAUCGCUGGUAUUUCUGUGUGGAACGGUAUGGAGCUGUCUGCAGGCUUAUCUGAGCUUUAAGCUUUUGCCGGAUUUUUCAACCCGAGUUAUUGCAUAUACCCGAUCAGUUUUAAGCAUGAUAACAAUCGUACUGUGUAUACUUUUCCUAAUAACGGGAACCCUGUCUUUCUUCCAGUAUAAUGGUAGUCUGAGUGGGAGGGACAUGCUAACCUGGGCCAAAGCCGACAGAGGGACGCUUAGAGGAAUUGCAGUGACAAUUGAAUGGAUCAUGUCGUCAUUAUUUUUCGGGGUAUUUAUCACAACAUUUAUCCCAGAGUAUAGGAAAUUAAGAUUCAGAGGAGCGGAGAUUCUUUUUACGACUCAAACCCAAGAAUGCAAAACUACGGAAAAACUUGUAGUGAUGCCUGAGACAAACCUAACGUCAGAGGAUUAUAUUUUGUCGAUAAGUACGGUUGACACCAUCGCAGAAUAAAUUCAGUAUAAGAGCUAAGUACAAGCUGUACAAGCAUUUUGUCCUAUAAAGAAAUAUUGAGACACAUAAUAGGACUGAAAAUAUGAAG